GAUGAACGCUGGCGGCGUGCCUAAUACAUGCAAGUCGAGCGAACAGAUAAGGAGCUUGCUCCUCUGACGUUAGCGGCGGACGGGUGAGUAACACGUGGGUAACCUACCUAUAAGACUGGAAUAACUCCGGGAAACCGGGGCUAAUGCCGGAUAAUAUUUAGAACCGCAUGGUUCUAAAGUGAAAGAUGGUUUUGCUAUCACUUAUAGAUGGAUCCGCGCCGCAUUAGCUAGUUGGUAAGGUAACGGCUUACCAAGGCAACGAUACGUAGCCGACCUGAGAGGGUGAUCGGCCACACUGGAACUGAGACACGGUCCAGACUCCUACGGGAGGCAGCAGUAGGGAAUCUUCCGCAAUGGGCGAAAGCCUGACGGAGCAACGCCGCGUGAGUGAUGAAGGUCUUCGGAUCGUAAAACUCUGCUAUUAGGGAAGAACAAAUGUGUAAGUAACUGUGCACGUCUUGACGGUACCUAAUCAGAAAGCCACGGCUAACUACGUG
rnacentral:rRNA from 1 species